UUAUGCUUGCUCUCUCUUGCUCUAUCUCAAACAAAUAAAAUCUUUUUAAAAAAAUAAAAAAAUAAAUGGUUUUUAUUAAUUAAAAAUAAAGGUUUUGCAUUGCAUCAAUAGUAACAUGUGGACAUUAUUUGAGUAGUAAUGUAAUGGACCUAGAGUUUUUUAAAUGCUCUAUGUAAGUGUGUUGUUUGUAGUGUUGAAGACUUUGGAAUUGAUAUUUAUAUCUAAAAUUUGCUUCUAGCUCUGAAAUUAUCAUUUCAGAUAUUUAAGGUAGGAAAUACAUAGGUAUGAUGUAGUGUCAAAACGUAAAGGAGUAGCCACAGUAAUCCACUAUAUUUUAUAUUAUAUCUGUGACUGGAUCUCUUAAGACAUAUUCUUCCUUGUUUCAUCUUCUUUAUGCAAAAUGUCAACCUACCAGACUUGUGAAUGUGAAUGAGAGUUUAGGUAUGUUUUGGGAUUUAGAAGAACUGUGUAAAUAUAAUCCUAUCACUAUUAACUUUGCCAGGUUUGGCCUAUGAGUUACUUGACAUUUUUAUUUUUGUAUGCUUAUUUGGACGAUUUAUUUUCUGCAAAUUAUAUUGUACAUUUUGCCAGAAUAAUUGUAAUUUUUCUUCAGGUUAUUUUCAUAUUAUUAGAUAAUGUUAAAUCAGUAUCAAAUGUGACACAUUGCUUAGAUUUACAAAUGUUACUUGGUGCUUUUAUGUAAUGAGAAGAAGUAAACAAUCUCAUACAUGGUGAUUCUCUCAAUUUCUGACCUUUUAAAAGUGUUGGAGGCACUAGUAACUUGCUCAAUGGUUACUUAGUCUGUAAUGGUAAUUCUUACAAGUGCUUAGAAUAUUUACAUGUUCACGGACUGGUUAGAAUAUUUUAAACAUUAGGAAUCAGUAGUUUUGCAAAGUAACUGUCUACAAAAGAUACUUUCGCAGUCAUAUAGAGUUUAUAGGGAAGCCAUGUCAUUCAGAAUUGCACUAUAUUCAUGUAUAUAUUGUACCAGCAUGUAUUGAGGGUCCUAUUGUUUGCUGUACCCUUUCCUAAGGCUGAGAUACAAAAGUGGAAAAACAAAAUCCCUGCUCUAAAUUAAAGACCAGCAGCCAUGUGAAUAUCCCUCCAGAUUGGUAGUUCUCACACUUGAGUGUGCUUUAGAGUCACCCGGAGGGCUCAUUAAAACCGAUUUCUGUGCUCUACCCCACAAUUUCUCAUUCAGCAGGUCUCAGGUAGGGCUAAGUAAUGUGUAUUUCUAACAAGUUCCCUGAUGAUACUAAUGUUGGGUUUGGGCACUCUUUGAGAAUCUCUGUUCUAAAGUAUUACUCAAAAGAAUCACAGUAACUUUUUUGUUUAGUUGAUUUUUGUUGGUGGUAGCAUAAGUGAUUGUCCUGGUAUGUUAUAUGCUAUUUAGGAUCUCUGGCUAAUCAUUGAUACCAUUCAAAACACUCCCAAACUUUUCCAGCUACUUACUGCCAGUUGACAAGUACUGCAAAAAGUCCAUUAUUUUUAAGUAGGCUAUUGAGUGCUAAAUCUUAUACACAAGAUUUUUAAACUAGGAUUUCAUUUUUGUGUCACAAGCCUAGUGAAUUCAAGUGAAGAGGGAAUAUAGAAAAGUGCAAUUUGAAAAUUUUGUAAAGGUUUUUCACUUAAGUGAUUUUCAACUUCCUCUACCAGUAUGAGAAAUGAAACAGUGUAAUGUUUUUGUAUUUGAAGAUGCUUGGGGCGUCUGGCCAGCUCUAGGACUCUUUCUUGACCUUGCUGGGGUUGUGAGUUUGAGCCCCACGUUGGGUGUCGUGGUUAUUAAAAAAAAAAAAAAAAAAAAUCUUGAAGAUGCUUAUGCCUGACAGGUGAAGGUUUUAGAAAACUGUCCUGGUCUUUGCUUACCAUCUUGGUAAAUAUGAAUACAGUGACACUAUUUUGAUGGAUUAAAAUGAUGGCUCAACCUUUCUCUUUUGUGAACUCGUCUUUUACUUUUCUAGAUUGAAGAUACAGAUUUGAUAAAUACAUUUUUAAGACAAUGAGUAUAUUUAUUAAAAGUAAUUUUCUCUUGGUUUGCAGCUUCAAUUUUCAUUAAUCAUUUUAGAAAGUAAUGCCACCAAGGAGUUCAAUAAAUGGAAAUCAUUAAGUAAUUUUAUGGUAAAAACUAUAGCCUGGCUUAUGAGACCUUACAAAGAUUUAUGCUACACAUAUGUAUUAUUCAGAGUCUGUUCAGAAUUAUGCAGUACAUUAAAACAAAUUGGUCCAUAAUGAGAGCACAUAGUUGCAAUAUUGAUUAUAGUUCCUUUCAAAACUUUUUGACUAUAUUAGUGCAAAGAAACAGUCACCUGGUGUAUAGCUUUCUAAAUAUCUGAGCAGGUAUUUUCUAGAACCUUGUGUGUGUCUGCUAAGAAUAUCUGUGUAUAGGAAAUAAGAGAAACUUGUUUGUAAUUUAGAUGUCAUCUGGGUGCCUCACUCUUGCUUCCCAAAGAUUGCCAUAGCAUAACGGUUCUCUCAGUUUUACCAGGAAAUCCACAUUGACCAAGCAUUUUGUGGUUUUUGUGAACUAGAAAUGGGUUUGACUCAGAAGUUACAUAUCUGUCAUCAAGGAAGUCAACUCAUCUACCCUUUUAUCUUUUAACUUUGCACCAACCUACCCCUCCCUCAUUUUUUUUUUUUUUAUUAAGAAGUCCGAUUCCUUGCUCCAUGGGAACCCUGGACUUAAGGAUACUACUAGGUUUCUUCCCCAAGGUGGCUAAUGAGAGUAAAACUUUGUUUCAUCUAUUUAAAAAAAGGUUAACAUGAUUAGAUUUCCUAUGCUUUUGUUUUUCCUGUUCAGGUAUUUGUUAUUUAUUACUAGUUUUCUUCAAUCAAGAAAAUGAUUAACUCCUGUGGCAGUACUUGGACACUGCAAUGAAUUAUAUUUCUACAAAAGUCAGUGCUUAACUUUAUUUUUAGGUACACAAAUAAAGAGAAAAAGGAUAAAAUUUGAAAAAGGAAGUUAAUCUGUACUGAAGUUUUCUGAUUCAUAUUGUGAUUUCUCUAUAUAAUAGUGUCCUCUUAUAUGAGGAGGAAACAUUCCAAGACCCCCAGUGGAAAAGCACAGAUAGUACCAAACCCUGUAUAUACUUUUUUUUCCUAAUUACAUGCAUGUCUGCAGUAAUUUAUAAAUUAGGCACAGUAGUAGGAGAUUUAACAAUAAUGACUAAUGAAAAAUACAAUUAUAACAUUGUACUGUAAAUAAGGUAUGUGAAUGUGGCCUCUCAGAAUAUUGUACUCAAUGCCUGUGAUGAUAUGAGAUGAUAAAAUGCUUUUGUGAUGAGAUGAAGUGAGGUGAAUAUCAUAGGCAUUGUGAUGUAGCAUUAAGCUACUAGUGACCUGACCAUACUUCUGAAGAGUGUCGUCUGCUUCCAGACUGUAGGAAACUGAAACUAUGGAAAGCAAAACCACAGAUAAGGAGGACCUCUGUACUCCCUCUGCACCUGACCCCAUAUUUAACAACCCCAGUUAUUAUCCUUCUAGGCAGGAGGGCGAAAGAAAACAUGGAUGAAGCUUCCUGAAUUUCGGCUUCUGGCAUGAAUCAAGUUCAGAGACUAGGAAGUGCUGGUGUCAUUAUUUCCUUUCAGAUCAUUUUGUGGGAGAAAUGCUUUUAAGACACAGGAGAAACAAGGCAGAAAACAAAUUUCAUUUCAUUUGUGAAUUUAUUACUCCAUACAAGCAGCUUAUGGAUGUAUGAGUAAUCCUAACAUUUGACAUUAUGCCUCAUGGAGUUUUCUUUGGUUAAAAUAAUAUGUGGAAUAAUGCAAA